rnacentral:rRNA from 1 species
AUUGAACGCUGGCGGAAUGCUUUACACAUGCAAGUCGAACGGCAGCACGGACUUCGGUCUGGUGGCGAGUGGCGAACGGGUGAGUAAUGUAUCGGAACGUGCCCAGUCGUGGGGGAUAACGUAGUGAAAAUUACGCUAAUACCGCAUACGAUCUAUGGAUGAAAGCGGGGGAUCGCAAGACCUCGCGCGAUUGGAGCGGCCGAUAUCAGAUUAGGUAGUUGGUGGGGUAAAGGCCGACCAAGCCAACGAUCUGUAGCUAGUCUGAGAGGACGACCAGCCACACUGGAACUGAGACACGGUCCAGACUCCUACGGGAGGCAGCAGUGGGGAAUUUUGGACAAUGGGCGAAAGCCUGAUCCAGCCAUUCCGCGUGCAGGAUGAAGGCCCUCGGGUUGUAAACUGCUUUUGUACAGAACGAAAAGGUUUCUACUAAUACUAGGAGCUCAUGACGGUACUGUAAGAAUAAGCACCGGCUAACUACGUGCCAGCCGCCGCGGUAA